ACAUGUUACAUCUACUCAAAUAGUCUACAAGGUACACAUGAUUUUUUUAAAUAAUUAUCAUUUUCUUAGAUUUUCCUUUCUUCUACAUUGUCUUAUUUUUGCAAUUGAGUUCCUCUCCAAGAAUUUUGUAUUGUACAUUCAUUUUUUGCAAAAUGAAUUAUGUGUUUCUAAUUAAAGAAAAAUGUGGUAAAAAGCUAAUUUCUUAUUUGACAUUUUUCCACAAGUAUCAAUACCUUCAUAUAUUCCAUUUUGGGGAGGUAUGAUGGUAAAGAAGUUGGUACGUAUGUCUCCAAUGAUUGAUAUUAUCAUCGAAAAGGAUGCAAAGGAAACUGGUUUGCCAAAAGAAGAGAACCCAAUUUAUUAAAAGAGGUGAUGUCGAUCGAAAACCACCAUGAAGAUUGCAUCAUUAGUCAUUUGAAGGUUGAACAAUAUUUUUUUGUAGAAUAUAAAUCUUAAUAAUUGUUGCAGUAA